GAAGCUUCUUUGUCAUAGUUACUCUGAUGGAUGACCUCUAUUAGCAUUAUGUUAUCAACAACAAACCUAGUGUAUUCCCACAGCGUGGGGUCUGGGGAGGAUAAGAUGUACGCAGUCCAUACCGCUACCUCCGAAGAAGUAGAGAGGAUGUUUCCGAUAGACCCUCGGCUCAAGAUAAAGUAGUUAGCAUUAUGUUAUCACAACUACUUAUCUAAGUUCCUUCACUGGGUGUUUUCUAUUAUCUUUAGGAGUCCUAGUAUUUCUACUUUUCUCCUUCAAUUAAAUUUGUUUACUUUGUCCAUUAAGGGAUUCUUCCUAAAUGAUGAGUAAUUCAAGUGAGCCAUGGAUUAACAUCCAAAUGAAGCUUCUUUGUCAUAGUUACUCUGAUGGAUGACCUCUAUUAGCUCUAUUAGCAUUAUGUUAUCAACAACAAACCUAGUGUAUUCCCACAGCGUGGGGUCUGGGGAGGAUAAGAUGUACGCAGUCCAUACCGCUACCUCCGAAGAAGUAGAGAGGAUGUUUCCGAUAGACCCUCGACUCAAGAUAAAGUAGUUAGCAUUAUGUUAUCACAACUACUUAUCUAAGUUCCUUCACUGGGUGUUUUCUAUGCUUCAUUUAGUC
rnacentral:lncRNA from 1 species